GGGGCCCCCACGCGCACCCGCCUCGGGUCAGGCGCUCCCCUCCCCCGCCCGCGUGAGUCCCGGCGUGUGGGCCGUGUGCAUGUGCGGAGCGCUCACCCGCAGGUCUUCCCUUUUGUUCCGCCCUGACCUCUACCUUGUGCCGCCCGACUGGGGGUGCAGGAGCGUCCUGCAGAAGCGCAAGGUGUGCGGGCUCUGCCUCUCCUCAACUCCGCAUCAGUGCCCCUCUCUCCUCUUGCUCUCCUCUCCCUCCUUCUCUCCAAGAUCUCCCUGCUGCUAAGUCUGCGCUGCUGCAGGAGGGCUGGGGGAAGGGCAGGGGUGCGGAGCCGGUUCCUGGUGUCUUCUUUCUCUCUCUGCCCCCCC
rnacentral:lncRNA from 1 species